AUAGAAAAAGGGAAUGGGACUUCCCUGAAACCGCUUGAAAUAUAGCUGAUAGUUCCUACUUAAUG
rnacentral:ncRNA from 2 species